rnacentral:ncRNA from 2 species
UAUCCAACAGGGAAUGGAGUCUCCCUUCAACCGCCGUCGGCUGAUGACUCCUGCUGCGUA